AGUUAAUCACUAUUGUUAGUAAUGUGUUUUGAAAGCACAAAUUAAAGGUUAAAUCCCUUUAUUAACUU
rnacentral:tRNA from 1 species